CACAAGCGGUGGAUGAUGUGGUUUAAUUCGAUGCAACGACGAAAACCUUACCCACCUUUGACAUGUACGGAAUCCUUUAGAGAUAGAGGAGUGCUCGAAAGAGAACCGUAACACAGGUGCUGCAUGGCUGUCGUCAGCUCGUGUCGUGAGAUGUUGGGUUAAGUCCCGCAACGAGCGCAACCCUUGUCAUUAGUUGCUACAUUCAGUUGGGCACUCUAAUGAGACUGCCGGUGACAAACCGGAGGAAGGUGGGGAUGACGUCAAGUCCUCAUGGCCCUUAUAGGUGGGGCUACACACGUCAUACAAUGGAUGGUACAAAGGGUCGCCAACCCGCGAGGGGGAGCCAAUCCCAUAAAGCCAUUCGUAGUCCGGAUCGCAGUCUGCAACUCGACUGCGUGAAGUCGGAAUCGCUAGUAAUCGUGGAUCAGAAUGUCACGGUGAAUACGUUCCCGGGUCUU
rnacentral:rRNA from 1 species